AACGAACGCUGGCGGCGUGCUUAACACAUGCAAGUCGAACGGAACGGCCCUGCUUUUGUGGGGUGCUCGAGGGGCGAAGGGGUGAGUAACACGUGGGUAACCUGCACUUGACUUUGGGAUAACUUCAGGAAACUGGGGCUAUUACCGGCUAGGAGCUACUGCUGCUGGGUGGGGGUUGGAAAGUUUCGGCGGUUGGGGUUGGACUGGCGGAGUAUGAGCUUGAUUGGGGGGUAGUGGAUGACCAAGGCUUUGAAGGGUGGCAGGCCUGCGAGGGGGACCGGCCACGUUGGGACUGAGAUACGACCCAGACUCCUAUCGGACGCAGCACAGGGGAAUAUAGCACAAGGGGCGGAAGCCUGAUGCAGCCACGCCGCGUGCGGGAUGACGUGCUUCGGGUUGUAAUCCGCUGUCGCCUGUGACGAAGCGUUAGUGACGGUAAUGGGUAAAGAAGCACCGGCUAACUCCGUG
rnacentral:rRNA from 1 species